rnacentral:misc_RNA from 1 species
GAGGAAGUCCGGUGCGAAUCCGGCGCGGUCCCGCCACCGUCACCGGACAGCGAACCUCGACGUACGGCCACUGACGCGGGCGGCGUGCCCGCGCUGGGAAGGCCUGAGGGGAACGUGCGCGGCGCGGCUUCGUCCUCGAAGCCCCGCGGCGCGGAUCCGGGAGCCGGGAUACUC